rnacentral:rRNA from 1 species
GGACGAACGCUGGCGGCGUGCUUAACACAUGCAAGUCGAACGAGAAUCUGCGGAACAAGGGAUUCGUCCAAGUGAAGCGGAGGACAGUGGCGGACGGGUGAGUAACGCGUGAAUAACCUGCCUUAUACUGGGGGACAACAGUUGGAAACGACUGCUAAUACCGCAUAAGCGCACGGUUCCGCAUGGAACAGUGUGAAAAACUCCGGUGGUAUAAGAUGGAUUCGCGUCUGAUUAGAUAGUUGGUGAGGUAACGGCUCACCAAGUCGACGAUCAGUAGCCGGCCUGAGAGGGUGAACGGCCACAUUGGGACUGAGACACGGCCCAAACUCCUACGGGAGGCAGCAGUGGGGAAUAUUGCACAAUGGGGGAAACCCUGAUGCAGCGACGCCGCGUGAGUGAAGAAGUAUUUCGGUAUGUAAAGCUCUAUCAGCAGGGAAGAAAAUGACGGUACCUGACUAAGAAGCCCCGGCUAACUACGUG